rnacentral:rRNA from 1 species
UACAGGGGGUGCUAGCGUUGUUCGGAAUUACUGGGCGUAAAGGGCGCGUAGGCGGUUUAGCAAGUCAGAUGUGAAAUCCCGGGGCUUAACUCCGGAAGUGCAUUUGAAACUGCUAGGCUAGAGUGCAGUAGAGGUUGGUGGAAUUCCCAGUGUAGAGGUGAAAUUCGUAGAUAUUGGGAGGAACACCAGUGGCGAAGGCGGCCAACUGGGCUGCAACUGACGCUGAGGCGCAAAAGCGUGGGGAUCAAACAGG